rnacentral:rRNA from 1 species
GACGAACGCUGGCGGCGUGCUUAACACAUGCAAGUCGAGCGGUAAGGCCCUUUCGGGGGUACACGAGCGGCGAACGGGUGAGUAACACGUGGGUGACCUGCCCUCAGCUCUGGGAUAAGCCUGGGAAACCGGGUCUAAUACCGGAUAUGACUCCAUGACGCAUGUUGUGGGGUGGAAAGCCUUGUGCGGCUGAGGAUGGGCCCGCGGCCUAUCAGCUUGUUGGUGGGGUGAUGGCCUACCAAGGCGACGACGGGUAGCCGGCCUGAGAGGGCGACCGGCCACACUGGGACUGAGACACGGCCCAGACUCCUACGGGAGGGCAGCAGUGGGGAAUCUUGCGCAAUGGGCGAAAGCCUGACGCAGCGACGCCGCGUGAGGGAUGACGGGCCU